rnacentral:lncRNA from 15 species
CAUGCUACAACUGUAUUAUAUUGUUAAUUAUAGUUUACAGGUUUAUCAAAGCAUGCAGCAAUUAAAGCAAUAAAAGUCAGUUUAAUAUACAAUAUUACAUUUUACUGUGUACAGACAGUUGCCUCUUAAGGUUUAUUUACAUUUAUAGCAAAUACCUGUGUUAUUUUUCUAACAGAUUUUCUCUUUUAGAUGUUGUAGAAGAUGAAGAUGUCCGAAAUUCAACAUUAACUUUAAGUGUUUUGAUUGGUGUAACUACAGUCACCAUAAUAAUUGUAGUUAUUCUGGGUUUAAUCUACAGGACAAAAUGUAAUGGAAGCUGUUCAAGGUCAGCAACAUCUGGAUUAUCUGUGUGUGAACCUCCUGGCUCUCUGGACCUUGCUGACCCUGAUGACCUCUACACAAGCCUUCAGCAACCAGAAAGUGAUCUCUACCAAACUAUCUCAAAUCCAGCCAGCAAUAUAGUGACUGUCCCCGUCAAUAACCAGGAAAUAAUCAGAGGAGAGACUGAUUCAAGUUGCGAUAUCUAUGAAAACAUUUCAACCAAAGAAUCAAUAUAA